UACAGAGGUCUCAACCGUUGUUCGGAUUCAUUGGGCGUAAAGGGUGCGUAGGCGGCGGGGUAAGUCAGGUGUGAAAUCUCGGGGCUCAACCCCGAAACUGCACUUGAUACUGCCUCGCUUGAGUACUGGAGAGGAGACUGGAAUUUACGGUGUAGCAGUGAAAUGCGUAGAUAUCGUAAGGAAGACCAGUGGCGAAGGCGGGUCUCUGGACAGUUCCUGACGCUGAGGCGCGAAGGUCAGGGGAGCAAACGGG
rnacentral:rRNA from 1 species